ensembl:lncRNA
CCUCUGCCCCGCCCCCGCGGUCAGAUCAGCUUUCGAAGAAGCCGGAACCAAGUCCCAAAGUUGCUGCUCAACUGCUCAACUUGCGGCUGGCCGUGCCCAGGAGAGGUGCGAUAGGUCUAGCCCUAGUACCCCGCAUGCGCUCACUCCUGCGCUGGUCCGCUGAGCCACGACUGCCAGGGACCCCAAGAGCCAGGCCAAUGGGGACACCCGGGGAAGUCAGUGAGGGCAGCCUCUCAGACAGGGUGAUCCCUGCCCUGCUCCCAGGAUCCCCCAGGGUAUAAACUUCCAUCACCCUGAUUCAGGCCUUUUCUUGGCAGAACAACUGCAAAAGAUACAAAACUUAGUUGCUGUUGGCUGGCUGGUUUAAUUCAUUUGCAUAUACAUAAUUCAGUCCCACCCCUCGUGGCUAAUACCCUACUUGGGGAGCUGUGGCUGUUUUCUGAUUGCUGGUAGGAGGCCUAUGUGUGUUGUUUUUUUU